GGCGGACGGGUGAGUAAUGCUUGGGAACUUGCCUUUGCGAGGGGGAUAACAGUUGGAAACGACUGCUAAUACCGCAUAACGUCUACGGACCAAAGGGGGCUUUUAGCUCUCGCGUGAAGAGAGGCCCAAGUGAGAUUAGCUAGUUGGUGAGGUAAAGGCUCACCAAGGCGACGAUCUCUAGCUGUUCUGAGAGGAAGAUCAGCCACACUGGAACUGAGACACGGCCCAGACUCCUACGGGAGGCAGCAGUGGGGAAUAUUGCACAAUGGGGGAAACCCUGAUGCAGCCAUGCCGCGUGUGUGAAGAAGGCCUUCGGGUUGUAAAGCACUUUCAGUUGUGAGGAAAGGUUGGUAGUUAAUACCUGCCAGCUGUGACGUUAACAACAGAAGAAGCACCGGCUAACUCCGUGCCAGCAGCCGCGGUAAUACGGAGGGUGCGAGCGUUAAUCGGAAUUACUGGGCGUAAAGCGCACGCAGGCGGUUUGUUAAGCUAGAUGUGAAAGCCCCGGGCUCAACCUGGGAUGGUCAUUUAGAACUGGCAGACUAGAGUCUUGGAGAGGGGAGUGGAAUUCCAGGUGUAGCGGUGAAAUGCGUAGAGAUCUGGAGGAAACAUCAGUUGGCGAAGGCGACUCCCUGGCCAAAGACUGACGCUCAUGUGCGAAAAGUGUGGGUANGCGAACCUUGU
rnacentral:rRNA from 1 species